AUAGCGUAUAUUAAAGUUGUUGCAGUUAAAAAGCUCGUAGUUGAACCUUGGGCCUGGCUGGCCGGUCCGCCUCACCGCGUGCACUGGUUCGGCCGGGCCUUUCCCUCUGGGGAGCCCCAUGCCCUUCACUGGGUGUGGUGGGGAACCAGGACUUUUACUGUGAAAAAAUUAGAGUGUUCAAAGCAGGCCUAUGCUCGAAUACAUCAGCAUGGAAUAAUAGAAUAGGACGUGUGGUUCUAUUUUGUUGGUUUCUAGGACCACCGUAAUGAUUAAUAGGGACAGUCGGGGGCAUCAGUAUUCAAUUGUCAGAGGUGAAAUUCUUGGAUUUAUUGAAGACUAACUACUG
rnacentral:rRNA from 1 species